AUGGGUGGUGGUGGUUUUUUAGAAAAAAAGCUGAGGGACCCCCGCCGUCCUACGUCUCACGUCUCCGGGGAAGGAAGGAGGGAGCAGGGCUGGUGGGUGCCUGCGGCGCACAGCGGGACCCACGGGCCCCGCGACCCGCCGAGACUGGAGCAGGGCUGGGGCAGGGCAGCCGGCUCCAGCCCGGAGCAAACUUCGCUGCCGGGCGGGGCUUGGCGGGGACUAGGGCCCAAGCAGGAGGAGGCGGCCACGGCCCCGGCCCCGCCCCAGCGCGCGAGUCGCCGAGCACCACACUGUCGGGCUCUCCAGGCCAGAGACUCUGCCAGCGCCAUUCCCCAGCCACCGCUGCCGCCGUUCCCCCAGUUCCACGUCAAGUCGGGCCUGCAGAUCCGAAAGAACACCAUCACCGACAACUACAAGGUCACCAGCCAAGUGCUUGGCCUGGGCAUCAACGGCAAGGUGCUGAGGAUCUUCGACAAGAGGACCCAGCAGAAAUUCGCCCUCAAGAUGCUCCAGGACUGCUCGAAGGCACGCAGAGAGGUGGAGCUGCACUGGAGGGCUUCCCAGUGCUCACACAUUGUGCACAUCGUGGACGUCUAUGAGAACCUGUAUGCUGGGAGGAAGUGCCUGCUAGUUGUUAUGGAGUGUCUCGAUGGUGGAGAGCUCGAGGAGACUGAGGAGACCAGGCAUUCACAGAAAGAGAAGCGUCAGAGAUCAUGAAGAGCAUCUGCGAGGCCAUCCAGUACUUGCACUCUAUCAACAUUGCUCAUCGGGAUGUCAAGCCUGAGAACCUCGUAUAUACUUCCAAAAGGCCCAAUACCAUUCUGAAACUCACUGAUUUUGGCUUUGCCAAGGAAACCACCAGUCACAACUCUUUGACCACUCCAUGUUAUAUACACCAUAAUAUGUGGCUCCGGAAGUCCUGGGCCCAGAGAAGUAUGACAAGUCUUGUGACAUGUGGUCCUUGGGUGUCAUCAUGUAUAUUUUGCUGUGUGGGUAUCCCCACUUCUAUUCCAAUCAUGGCCUUGCCAUCUCUCCGGGGAUGAAGACUCGUAUUCGAAUGGGCCAGUAUGAAUUUCCUAACCCGGAAUGGUCAGAAGUAUCAGAAGAAGUGAAGAUGCUUAUCCGGAAUCUGCUAAAAACAGAGCCUACCCAGAGAAUGACCAUCACAGAAUUCAUGAACCACCCCUGGAUCAUGCAAUCUACGAAGGUCCCUCAGACUCCACUGCAUACCACCCGUGUCCUGAAGGAGGACAAGGAACGAUGGGAGGAUGUCAAGGAGGAGAUGACCAGUGCCUUGGCCACGAUGCGUGUUGACUAUGAGCAGAUCAAGAUAAAGAAGAUAGAAGACACAUCCAACCCUCAGCUUCUCAAGAGGAGGAAGAAAGCUCGUGCUGUGGAGGAAGUGGCCCUUGCCCACUGAGCCGCUGUCUCCCACCCCACUGGAGGACAAGCAAUAACUCUACAUGAAUAUAUUUUUUAGACAAAAAGACACAAGUUGCCCACUUGGGCUGCGUGAUGCCCAGAAAUGCCUCCGGCUUUAUUCUGGCCUUGGCUCUGGCUUCUCCAGAGAUAGGGGCUGGAGGAUGUGUGAGGGGGUGAGGUGCUCCUGAGCCCGUGCUCCUUUUGCAUCUUAUCUGUAAUUUGGCGUAGUGUUUAUGGAACCUGUCUUUUUGUCCUUUUCCCCACUCCUCAUUCCUUCCCCAGGUCCUUUCCCAUCUACAAAGGCUGAGGCUUACCCAAGGGUGUUGUGAAAGUUGUUACAGGGAAUGUCCCUAGGUUGCCCCAUCUGUCUCCCCUGGCCUCCCACUGUAACAUGGAGUCCCCACUGGCUCUAGAAUCUGGAAGCUUCAGGGAGAAGGGAGCAGAGUGGCAGGAGGUGCCACUUGCCUUCCACCGAAGCCCUUAGACAUCACUGGUGUGUACAACAGAGCAUGCGUGUGUAUGCCUGGGUCCAUGCCAGCGACUGGGUAUUGGAGGGUCUAGGGAAGGCAGGACUACACGGACUCCUCCUUGAACUGAGCCUGCCUAAAUGCCUAGGUAGCUUGUCUAGAUCUAGAGCCAGGUAAUCGUGGCCUCGGUGUUAGCUGGGCAGGGGAAGGCAGUGAGGGGUAUGUGGACACUGGCAGCCAUCAGGAGGACUGGGUCCCCUCAGGACCCAUUUCCCUGCUGGUCCCAGAUCCCCGAGGCACUGAUCCACUGAGUAGCCUCCGCUUGCCCUUCUUGCCAUGAUUAACCCACUUUUUCUCUGAAAAUUUUAGCCAUUUCUCAAUGGGCUGUCCACUCCCACAGGUGACCCUGGGAAGGUUAUAUGCCUGGAAAGGCGGUUGCAUUUCAUGCAUCUCCCCUGAUCUCUGGGGUACCUGCCAACCUCCCUUUGGCAAGGGCAGGACCACAUGUGGUCUUCCUGAAUUUCCACCACGUGGUUUGGUGGGUGGGACAGUCUUCGCACCAAAGAUGUCUUGACUCUGUCCCUGCCCACUAGCCACCUCACCCUCUGACUGUUCAUCCUGGGUGGGGGCUCCCCAGGAUUGAGGAGGCGCAGGUGGGGAAGAGUCUUUGUGCCAUGGUCUCCCAUACCCCUCCUGCACAGGGCAGGAGGGGUGUCUCCCUCAGGGGUUGGUAGAAGAGGGGCUCUUAGGCAUCUCUCGGCCUGGGGCAGGGCCCAGGUGUCUACAGCUCCUCCCAUGUCUUUGAUGGUUGUGUUCAACACUCAGACUGUUGUAAACUGUUGUUUUGUAUGAGCAAAAUUGUCUUUACUAAACAAAUUUAAUAGUUAAAAAAAAAAAGAAAAAAGAAAAAACGCUGAGAGAACUGAAGAAUAACCGGUUACAUGGCAAAUAUCAGGCUGCUAUGGAUCAAAGCAGGCAAGGAAAUUCACUGCCCACCUAGAAAAGAGCCUUCUCAGUAGCCACCACUAGCCACCUCUUCCCCCUUAACAGUACUACUAUUUUAAGGCCUGAGAGGAAAGAAAAGAGAAGCUAACUAGCUUUAUAUAAACACUGUUCAAGUAACUUUGCCUGGCUACUGGGGACAUCAGUACAUCCCUUUAUUCCAAGGUAACAGACAUCAAAUAAAAUAAAAAUUCCAAAUAAUUACUGGGAAAUACAGACAAUAAAGAAUAUAAACAAUGCAGA